UACGAAGGGUGCAAGCGUUACUCGGAAUUACUGGGCGUAAAGCGUGCGUAGGUGGUUUGUUAAGUCUGUUGUGAAAGCCCCGGGCUCAACCUGGGAAUGGCAAUGGAUACUGGCAGGCUAGAGUGCGGUAGAGGGUAGUGGAAUUCCCGGUGUAGCGGUGAAAUGCGUAGAGAUCGGGAGGAACACCAGUGGCGAAGGCGGCUACCUGGACCAGCACUGACCACUGAGGCACGAAAGCGUGGGGAGCAAACAGGG
rnacentral:rRNA from 1 species